rnacentral:rRNA from 1 species
UUGAACGCUGGCGGCAGGCCUUACACAUGCAAGUCGAACGGUAACAGGAAGAAGCUUGCUUCUUUGCUGACGAGUGGCGGACGGGUGAGUAAUGUCUGGGAAACUGCCUGAUGGAGGGGGAUAACUACUGGAAACGGUAGCUAAUACCGCAUAACGUCGCAAGACCAAAGAGGGGGACCUUCGGGCCUCUUGCCAUCGGAUGUGCCCAGAUGGGAUUAGCUAGUAGGUGGGGUAACGGCUCACCUAGGCGACGAUCCCUAGCUGGUCUGAGAGGAUGACCAGCCACACUGGAACUGAGACACGGUCCAGACUCCUACGGGAGGCAGCAGUGGGGAAUAUUGCACAAUGGGCGCAAGCCUGAUGCAGCCAUGCCGCGUGUAUGAAGAAGGCCUUCGGGUUGUAAAGUACUUUCAGCGGGGAGGAAGGGAGUAAAGUUAAUACCUUGGCUCAUUGACGUUACCCGCAGAAGAAGCACCGGCUAACUCCGUG